rnacentral:rRNA from 1 species
UAAUUGCGAAUGAACAAGGAACUGCUCAGCUUGAAAAUUGGGGCCUUCGGCCUUGAAUUGUAAUUUUGAAAUGUAUUGCCAAUGGAGGCGCAGGUGCAAGCCUAUUGAAAGAAAGCGUCAAUGAGGGUGAGAUUCCUUUUUGUCAUUUGCAGUCCUCCGUGCACGGUAUAUAUUUGACGAGUCACACUCCUCGGCAUUGGAAUGCAAAGUGGGUGGUAAAUUCCAUGUAAAGGAAAAUAUAUUAUUGAGACUGAUAGCAAACAAGUACCAUGAGGGAAAUAUGAAAAGGACUUUGAAAAGAGAAUUAAAAGAGUCUGCAUUUGCUGAACAGAAAGCAAACAGAAUUGAUCUACUUGGUGAGAUUGUUGCGUCCACUUGUGGGCGCAAUGGUUCUUACCUUGAAUGUCAGCGUCUAUUUCUGCAAAUCAUUACCCUUGCACAUGAAUGGUAAUUUGCCUGUGGGUAUUGGAAUGCAUGUGUUUGCAAUGAUUUGUGAUUUGAUACGUGUGUCUGGUGUUCUUGUGUGUGCCUUCUUGCCAAAAGGGGAGGGCUCUCCUCCCUGGGCACUGCAAGCCCU